AAUUAUCAGUAAUCUAUCAUCGUUCUUUGACGUAGUUGCUUCCAUUUGAAUUUGAAAAAAUGUUUGGUCGAAAGUUGUUUGUAGCAUUUCUUAUUGCAAUCAUUGUUUCUGAGCUUUUAGUUGGAAGCGUUCAUGGUGAUGACAGCUCCAAAGAUUCUAAAAAUGCUCAGCCGAAAAAGUCAGUUGUGAAAAAGGUUGCCAACGCAUAUAAAACCACGAAGAAAAACUUUUUCACCUUGCCCGGCAAGGGAAAGGUAUGGCCAAAACCAUGGAUUUACGAAUAAUUCUUAGCUGAUGCAUUGGAUACUAAACUAUAUUCUCAUCAGCGCUAAAAACUUCCUUGUUAGAAGAACAAUAUUAUGAUUUUGUUUUUGUGGCGAAGAAAAUUUUAAAAGGUGUCGUUAUCUAAAUAAAAACAGUUUAAAAAAUAUAAUCAA